UUUGGAAGAAUAAAAUCCCCCUGGAAUAUUAAUUAAUUGAUUAAUUAAAGAGCCAUUGUGAACUGGAGUUUGCAGAACAGCCCAAACUCACAACAAGAGGAAUAUUUGGAAUAUUUCCCUGGAUUUGCCACAGGUCUGCGCUUCCCCACCCGAGGAAAUCCCUCAGUGGGUUUCACAUUUCGGCACCUGCUGGAAAAAAAGAAAAAAAGGAAAAAAAAUACUCCAAAAAAGAAGAAAACACAACUUGGAUUUAUUUUCAUGCAGCUGAAUGGAAGGAGAAAUUUUGGGAAUACGACAGCUUCAGGAAUCAAAAGUGUCCUCGUGCCUCGUGUCCUGUCCUCAGCGUGGCAAAAAAUUCCUCAUCUGGGAGCAUUUAUGGACCAGUCCUUAAAAUGACACAGGUUGGCACAAAAUUGGCAUCUGGAAUUAAUUGGCUGUUUGCCCACGGUGUGGAGCUCAGCAGGAGCUGAAGGUGACGUGAGAAAACCCUUUUAAAUCUCAAUUUUUGAUCUAGAAAUAAAAACCAGGAAUGUUUUUGCAAUUU
rnacentral:lncRNA from 1 species